rnacentral:rRNA from 1 species
CGAACGCUGGCGGCAGGCCUAAUACCUGCAAGUCGCACGGCUCUUCGGAGCAGUGGCGGACGGGUGAGUAACGCGUGGGAAUGUGCCCUUAGGUCCGGAACAACACAGGGAAACUUGUGCUAAUACCGUAUGUGCCCUUCGGGGGAAAGAUUUAUCGCCGUUUGAGCAGUCCCGCGUUGGGUUCGGUAGUUGGUGAGGUAAAGGCUCACCAAGCCGCCGAUCCAUAGCUGGUCUGAGAGGAAGACCAGCCACACUGGGACUGAGACACGGCACAGACUCCUACGUGAGGCAGCAGUAGGGAGUCUUGGGCAAUCGGCGAAAGCCUGACGGAGCCAUGCCGCGUGUAUGAUGAAGGUCUUAGGAUGUUAAUGUACUUUCACCGGGGGAGAUAAGGGCGGUACCCGUAGAAGAAGCCCCGGCUAACUUCGUGCCAGCAGCCGCCGUAACAC